AUUGAACGCUGGCGGCAGGCCUAACACAUGCAAGUCGAACGGUAACAGGAAGAAGCUUGCUUCUUUGCUGACGAGUGGCGGACGGGUGAGUAAUGUCUGGGAAACUGCCUGAUGGAGGGGGAUAACUACUGGAAACGGUAGCUAAUACCGCAUAACGUCGCAAGACCAAAGAGGGGGACCUUCGGCCUCUUGCCAUCGGAUGUGCCCAGAUGGGAUUAGCUAGUAGGUGGGGUAACGGCUCACCUAGGCGACGAUCCCUAGCUGGUCUGAGAGGAUGACCAGCCACACUGGAACUGAGACACGGUCCAGACUCCUACGGGAGGCAGCAGUGGGGAAUAUUGCACAAUGGGCGCAAGCCUGAUGCAGCCAUGCCGCGUGUAUGAAGAAGGCCUUCGGUUGUAAGUA
rnacentral:rRNA from 1 species